CUAGUAAGGCACACAUGGGUAUAAAAGACCUCAGGACCCAGGCUAUGUAUUUCGACUACCCAGUAUACAUAUUCAAGUAUCUAAUUUUGGCUGAAUUGUCAUUCUUACUCAGUUCAUGAAGAGCUUCAUUUCCAUCUUUUUCCAGGUAAUUUUCUGAUAAAUCAAGAAUGCUCAGUUUGACCAAAUUGUGAAGAUUCUGAGCUGGGGAAAAAAAGUAAUCCAAAAUAAAAAGAUUUUCAGACAGAGUUUCACUCUUGUUGCCCAGGCUGGAGUGCAAUGGCGUGAUCUCGGCCCACCGCAACCUCCACCUCCCAGGUUCAAGUGAUUCUCCUGCCUCAGCCUCCCGAGUAGCUGGGACUACAGGUGCUGAGGACCAAACUGAGGCUUCCAGCCACACCAGCACAUCUCUUUAUUUGCAGCCUGAGGCUUGUGGCAGAGCUGAAUAUUUUCCCCAGAUAUCUGAUAUCUUGCUUAUUCAACUUGCUGAAAUCCCGGAGUGUGACCUCCAGAGUCCUGAAUUCCUGCUUCCAGUUGAAGAACAAAGAUACAGCCCUGCUGGGAAUGUAGGUUUCUGGGGCCUCUUCCAUGUGGAUUCCACCUGUGUCUUCUGCAGCCUUUUCCCAUGAAGCCAUAGCUCCCCCAUAAAAGUCCAGUUUAAUGAAGUCCAGGGCACUUGCACAAUUGGGCAAAUGUUCAAAGAAGUCAAAUAAGUAAUCGGGGAUGUUCCCUGAGUUGAUAUAUAAGCUUUUACCUUGAAAGAAAGCUUCAAAUUCUUGGCUCAGGGCUGAUUUGGAUGUACUCUCUUGAUAUAAAUGGAUGCCACACUCUACAAAGGAAUUGAUGUUUAUGGCUUUCAGAAUUUCUUGCUCAGUGGUGUUUUUCACACUUUGCAAAGAUUCCUGUCUCCAGAGAGGCCUCUUGGCGAUGGAAAGUCCGAGAAGGCAGCCGUGUUGAUACACUGCUGCGAGGUGCUUCAUAACAGCCCUGGUGGCUUCCACAGAUGACCCACAGGUGUACCGGAGCAGGCUGCUAUAAGUGGAUGUAAUGUCCGAAAUGGAAACCAUUUUCUGCAAGUAACCAUUCCCCUUGGUCACCUCCUCUGGCUCAUGAGACGUCAAUAAACUGCUGAGUCUUCGUCCUGCUGUGUACUCCUGGAAUGACUUGUGAAAGAAUUUAUACUUUGGCUUGAACCUUUGAGCUGUAUAUUUACAGAGGAGCCCAGUUGUCAGCAGGACAUCCUCAUUCACGCUGGACACAUCCUGCAGUUCGAAAUCAAACUUGUGGGAGAACACACCCUCCAGAGCUAGGUCUCCACAGUGGUCCAGGCUCCGAAUGAAGUCACUUGCAGCCACACCUUUAUGUUUGUGUUUGUUUUUCUGUAUCAACAGAUCAUAGAAGGUAUGGAACAGCGUUGUUUGUGUGUGAGAGUGGAACUCACUUUCACCCAUCUGGAUUGCACAAGUGAUGACCACAAAGAGAGGGGUCUUCAUGAGAUUCCUCAAGCACCUGGAUUUCUGAAUUUGGAGCAACAAGCCUUCAGCAAGCUCCUUGAUCAGCACUUCUCGGAUGAGAGCCUGGGCGCUGUCUUCUGUCAUAUCCCCCACCUCAGCAGUCAGGGCACCAAACUGCCGUAUGUGCCUCAGGCACUCAGUGGUAGUGGUGACGAUGACCAUGUUCUUGAAGCGGUGGUUUUCCUUUAUCAGGGCUUCGAUUUCUGGGCAGUUCUGGGGCUUGAAUUCAUUGUAGCCAUCAAGAAGGAAAAGAACCCUCUGCCGCAGCUUCAGCAGCAUGGCCAUGAAUGUCUGCUUCCUGAUUGUGCCAGGUAUAUCCAGGAGUUGAUCACAGAGGGUUUCAAAAAGUCCACCCUGGGCCCUGCUGAGACGGAGGAAGAAGACGAAUUUGAACUUGGUCAGAGCCUUGCACUUUCCGGAGCCCCAGAGCAUGGCAAUUCGCUGCAGCAGAGUGGACUUGCCUUUGCCAGAUUCCCCUUCAAUGAUGCAGGGGCUCUGAAGAGCCUGCAGGAGGCCAUUCAGGGUCAGCUGCUCCACGCGGUGAUGGUGUUGGUCCUUCCUCCACAGGACAGGUUCUGUGAAGGUGCUUUUCAAGUUAAAAAUAAUGUCAAUAUCUUCACCAAGGGGAUAAAAGUUCAGAAAAGAUGGGGUAUGGUACAAGUCCUUUAAAUCCUGAGCCAAAUCGUCCAAGUCUCCUUCUGAUGUCUGAUGAAAAAGACCUAUUAGAGAAGAGGUGAUGUUAAAGAAGACCCAAUUCUGUGUCUCCUCAAAACCUAGAGUUCAGGAGGAUGAACGGGGGGGUGAGGCUGAGAAUCUGCCAUUGGUGAAUGUAAUGUCCUUUCCCAGUUCUGAGCUGGCACAAAGGGUUCUGUCUGCUCCCCCUUUCCCCAGCAUCCUUUACCCCACUCCCCUUUUUGCUUUCUGUUUCCUCCUUUCCACAACCAAAUCUUAUAGCAGCUGGUUGGAAAAGGGAGGAGCUUGUUUUUGGGUUAAGGAAAGUAAAGAAUUUGGCAGAGAAAGAUGGUUAGGGAUAAUUGUCAUCAUAGUAGGCCUUCACUCUGAGUAAAAUC
ensembl:lncRNA novel transcript, antisense to NLRC4